rnacentral:rRNA from 1 species
GAUGAACGCUGGCGGCGUGCCUAAUACAUGCAAGUCGAGCGAACGGACGAGAAGCUUGCUUUUCUGAUGUUAGCGGCGGACGGGUGAGUAACACGUGGAUAACCUACCUAUAAGACUGGGAUAACUUCGGGAAACCGGAGCUAAUACCGGAUAAUAUUUUGAACCGCAUGGUUCAAAAGUGAAAGAAGGUCUUGCUGUCACUUAUAGAUGGAUCCGCGCUGCAUUAGCUAGUUGGUAAGGUAACGGCUUACCAAGGCAACGAUGCAUAGCCGACCUGAGAGGGUGAUCGGCCACCCUGGAACUGAGACACGGUCAAGACUCCUACGGGAGGCAGAAGUAGGAAAUCUUCCGCGAUGGGCGAAAGACUGACGGAGCAACGCCGCGUGAGUGAUGAAGGUCUUCGGAUCGUAAAACUCUGUUAUUAGGGAAGAACAUAUGUGUAAGUAGCUGUGCACAUCUUGACGGUACCUAAUCAGAAAGCCACGGCUAACUUCGUG